rnacentral:rRNA from 1 species
AAAAUGCAUGGUAGUACCUGCUCUAUGCAUAAACUGUAAAUGGCCGCAGUAUCUUGACUGUGCGAAGGUAGCAUAAUUAAUUGCCUUAUAAUUGAAGGCUUGUCUGAAUGGUUUGACGUGGUAGUUACAAAUAUUUACUUUUUAGGUGAACUUAAUUUGGAGGGCACAGAAUCCUCCUAUAUUAAUUAGACGGAAAGACCCCAGGAUCUUUUAUUUUUGUCUGGGGCAGAUGUAAAUUUUUUAUUUUUAUUUUGACCCUAUUAUAGUUUAAUGGUUUAAGUUACCCUGGGGAUAACAGUGUAAUAGUUUAUUAGAGAUCUUAUUGAAUAAACUGCUUGCUACCUCGAUGUUGACUUAGGUACUUAAGUUGGGCGCAGUAGUCUAACUUUUUGGUCUGUUCGACCUAACAUAC